CAGGUCUUGGCCAUGAUAGUUGGAGGAGUCGAACAUUUUGAACCCAUUCUUAUUGUGGUCGUCUCCAAACAGGUCCUGGAAGCACCGCAAGCAGACCUGCUUCUCACCUGGGCUCAGGCAGGGCCACCCGCCCAGAUAUCUCCGCACAAACUGAAACAAUUUCGAGGGAGAGGUGUGUUCUGCAACCAGCCACAGAAUAACAGGUGAGCUGGGCGUGUCUUCACUGACCCACCCGCCCAGGGCUGCUGCACUCCUCCACCCUGCUCAGGAUCACUGCAAUGACCGUUCUGUGGCUACAGCCCUAAAAGAGCUACUGAAAAGACCAGAAGUCGUAUGAGAACUUGUGAAUACAAAUAUAAAUAAAGGACAUCUGGAGAACAUGCA